AGUGCAAUUGCUGGAUCAUAUGGUAAGUGUAAUUUUUGGAGCAACUGCCAAACUGUUUUACUCAGCUCCUGCACCAUUUUACACUCCCAUUAGCAAU
rnacentral:pre_miRNA from 1 species